rnacentral:rRNA from 1 species
AGUGAACGCUGGCGGUAGGCCUAACACAUGCAAGUCGAACGGCAGCACAGUAAGAGCUUGCUCUUACGGUUGGCGAGUGGCGGACGGGUGAGGAAUACAUCGCAUUCUUCUUUUUCGUGGGGGAUAACGUAGGGACACUUAUGCUAAUACCGCAUACGACGUACGGGUGAAAGCAGGGGAUCUUCGCACCUUGCGCGAUUGAAUGAGCCGAUGUCGGAUCAGCUAGUUGGCUGGGUAAAGGCCCACCAAGGCGACGAUACGUAGCUGGUCUGAGAGGAUGAUCAGCCACACUGGAACUGAGACACGGUCCAGACUCCUACGGGAGGCAGCAGUGGGGAAUAUUGGACAAUGGGCGCAAGCCUGAUCCAGCCAUACCGCGUGGGUGAAGAAGGCCUUCGGGUUGUAAAGCCCUUUUGUUGGGAAAGAAAAGCAGCAGGUGAAUACCCCGCUGUUCUGACGGUACCCAAAGAAUAAGCACCGGCUAACUUCGUG